UGCACAGGUCAUCACUACCCCUACCACAGAGAAGAACACACUGCUUGACCUAAUUUUCAUUUCUCAGCCAGAGCGAUGUCUCCAUUCUGGAGUCAUGAAGACCUACUAUAGUUACCAUGACCCUGUAUACUGUGUAUUGUCCUGUGAUGAUUCAUGAUCUAGAUCUUUGACUACAAGCUGAGACACUCAGGACUGAACAGACUGCACAGUUUCUGUGACCGAGCCUCCAAAACAUCUUCUUUGAAACCACACAUGAUAGAAGGGCUUUAUAUUUGCAGCAGCACUACUAAAGUUGGCAGGAAUGUUGCUGCAGGAAAACAUCCCUGGAGAUCACCAUCAUUGCCAGACUGACUGUGCCUCCUCUGUGCAGUGUCAAGAUCCUCCCUAAAUGAGUGUUCCUCAGCUAUCCUGCUUCUGUGCUGCUUGCCACACAUCAAACACUGGCCGGAUGACAGG